ACUAAAUAUUAGACGUGUAGGCCUUCAUUUACUUUCUGAAUUUUUACGCGCUUUAUAUGCAAAGACGAACGCAUUUUCUAUACAAAAUUCUUUCCUCCUUUUCAAAACAUGUACAGUAGUAAUAGAAAAAACAAAAAAUAAUGCUUAAUGUACCUUUUUUUUUAACAAGAAUUUGUGUAUAUAUUAAAAUCAACCACCAUGUAUUUUUGUAUAUAUUAAAAUCAGUCAGUCCUGCGCCUUUGUUGCGCUCGUCGUCGCCGGAGGCAGAAGCAGCAGGUCCCAGGGCUUCCUCCUCGCCGUCAGCUUCCUCGUCGCCGUCAGCUUCCUCCCCGCUGUCACCUUCUUUCGUGCAACCAGAAGCUGGUCCCAAUUUGAACAACUAAUUUGUCUAUAUGCACAUUGAUGAUCAUGCUAGGCGCUUCAAUUGAACUUUUGGUUGGUGGAGUUAACUCAGAUUUGAUAAUAUGAUAUGUUAUGGCACUGCAAUGCAAGGCUUCUGGGAAGGAUUACCAAUCAUGCUGUACUUUUAGCCGUUCUGAUUUUAUUAUUUCCACACCCUGCUCCCUUCUUUUUUCACCUUGUUUAUGCAAAAUUGGUUCAUUCUUCAUUCAAUAUAUAAUUUAUUCUUGACUUCAAUUUCCUGCAUAGCGGUUAGUGAUCUAUAUCAGCAAGCAUCUUCCCCUGUGAUUUUGAUUAUUGAUGAAAAGCUGUGUUUGCUGAUGUUGCAUGAAAAUUGUGUUCUGUUAAUAAACUUAGUUUGUGCUGCCUUUUAGUGAAGCAAUUUCUUUGUACUGAUUUCCCUUCCAACCCUAAACAAACAACCCUUCUUCACCAUUGGAUUGGUUGAAGGAUCUAUCUAAUGGUAAAGGGUGUGUGUGUGGACACAUAUCUUCCAAGUAUUAACAGACACAAUUGGAACUUUGAAGCAAUUGAUUACUUAAAACAGUAUUCAGUAGGAAGAAGCAUUUUUCUUUCCUGACUUGGGGUUGCUAUUAUUAACCUGCACGCCAAUCUUAACAAAGUUUAUUUCUUUUUGGUUUAUGUAAGUUUUGCUUAGCUUUCAUUCUUGCAAGUAGUGCUGGUCUUUCAUUUUUGGUUUAUGUAAAUGUUGCUUAACUUUUUUGACUUUUUGAUGCAGAAGAAGGAAGAUAUUGGAGAUUAGCAAAUUCAAUCAGUUUCAGCUCAGCUUGGUUUGCCAUAGGGUUGGUUGUUUGCUUCUCUUGUUUACACAAAUUAACUAUUGACAAUAGUGAUCUUAUGCAAAUGAAGUGCUUCUAGUUCUAGAUGUUAAGCUAAGCUGUAGUGACUGUAUUUUCUAGUUGUAAAAAAGCAUCUAGUAGCCCCAACCAUAGGCUAAAAGUUUCAAAAGAAAUUUAAAUUCCAAAAGUGUUAUGUAUGUGCCUGCUUCAAACUACAAGAAGCCUUAUGUAUGUGCUCAACUGAGAGCAACACUGAUAUAAGUGAAAACAGUGAUUUGUUGUGUUAUUUUGGUGUGCUGAUCAGUUUUCUCAAAGAAUGCUGAGGCAGGUGGUGGUACUAUUAGCUAUGAUGCACUUCAACUUGACCCUGCACCUGGCUGCAUAUGCCUUUUGUAUUCACUUUGGAGGAAUGAAAUACAAAUGCCAUUUUAUUAUAUUUGUACUUUUUUUAUAUACUUUUUAUACACUUUUUUAGUAUAAGAAACAAA